rnacentral:rRNA from 1 species
GACGAACGCUGGCGGCGCGCUUAACACAUGCAAGUCGAGCGAGAACCAGCCCUUCGGGGCUUGGGGACAGCGGCGAACGGGUGAGUAACACGUGGGUAAUCUGCCCUUGACAUCGGGAUAGCCCGGGGAAACCCGGAUUAAUACCGAAUAGCCUCCGGAGCCUUCGGGCGCCGGAGAAAAGGUAGCUUCGGCCUCUGGUCAAGGAUGAGCCCGCGGCGGAUUAGCUUGUUGGCGGGGUAACGGCCCACCAAGGCGACGAUCCGUAGCUGGUCUGAGAGGACGAUCAGCCACACUGGGACUGAGACACGGCCCAGACUCCUACGGGAGGCAGCAGUGGGGAAUCUUGCGCAAAUGCGGGAAACCGUGACGCAGCGACGCCGCGUGGGGGAAGAAGGCCUUCGGGUUGUAAACCUCUUUCAGGAGGGACGAAGCUACUCGGGUUAAUAGCCCAGAGGGUGACGGUACCUCCAGAAGAAGCCCCGGCUAACUACGUGCCAGCCGCCGCGGUAACAC